rnacentral:rRNA from 1 species
CGGCAACAUCGGCAAACGAAAAUGAGCUGUCUCCAGUAGUUCUUUUUUUUGAGGAAAGUGAAGAUAAUAUUAAUCCAUCAUUCUUACAGGAAGAAUCAGAAGUAAAAGAAAAUUACACAGAAGCCCUUCUUCUAGAUCCCGACUAGGCCGACGAACUGGAGCCGUCGGUGGCGCGCCGCUGCCGCUGCUCUGCCUCAGGCCUUGGAUUGGAGCCAGCCCCGUGGUAGCCGGGAAGUGGCCGAUCGCCGGAUCCACAGAUCCUACUCGCAGGAACGCCGUCUUCGUCACGAUGGAUGCCAACGUCAUCUUCACCUUCGUCUUCAACCUCCGGAUCCUCCACCACCUAGGAUCCGGCCGGGGCACGACGAGCGCGCCAGAUCCGUAGAUCGGCGGGCUCGGGGAAGUCAGCCGCCGCGCGCCAACGACAAACACCACACCGACGCUAUCUCCACCUCCAUGGCGACGCCGGCCGCGGCCCUACCAAGCCCUACGCUAUGCACAUGCCUAGAUCCACGGUUUCCCCAACCUCCCGCCGCCGGAGCGACCGCCGGAGGCGGAGGAAUCCAGUAGUUCGUAGGGACACAAGUAACUUGGCACUUAAUCAACGUAUCCUAUAAGUCCUACUCUGAACCGAUAUUGUAUGAUCGAUCAGUUGAUGCAUGCGAGGUGAGAUGAGAUUAUUCUAAGGUUCAGCUGGCGCUCCGUAGUGCCACACGUGCGAGUGGGAGGGCACGUCCGUUUGGACAUGUUCAAGACGGGGAUUGGGGAAUCGCGAUACUGUACACAAACGAAACGAAGUUAAUGAUUCUAGAUAAGAUCGCCUGAAAGCGACCAUGUCACCCGUUGUUAGUCGAGAAAAUUAAGAGCAUGUUAAUAGUAUAGCCAACAACCGGCUAUAUAAAGUUGUCAUAUCAAUUGUAGCUAACUUAAUAACCCACCUAUACAAUAGUUACACGUACUAGUAUACUAUACAAUUAAUACAUGACCCACUCUUUUCUCUCACAAAGGGUGUUGGAGCUCGUGCUAGAGCCGGCUGUAAGCUUGUAGCUCGUUUCUCUUCUCUCCUCUCCUCCACCUAAACAUAAAUCUGACGUGGCAUCUUUUUAGCCCGUCUACGUCUUCCUAUUAUACUUGCUCUAAAGCAUGUCUAGGGCCAAUUAUUACAUGCCACAGGGCCGGAUGAAGAUGAGAUGCAGUCUUCCAAGAUACAAACAUGGAUCGAUCAAGAAAAAGAAGCGUCAUUAAAUUGCCGAUGCCUAAACCCUAAUGGCAUACGAGUCCAACAACGAAUCUAUCGACGAGGGCGGUCGAUCCAUAGGCGCGCGUACCAAAGAACAGCAAAGAGCAGGCCAGAACCUCAGCAACAAGAACAAAGAAAAUAAGCUCAUUAGGUUUAGGUGCAACAAAGAGGGCUAUCACAACCAUCCAUCCACAGAUCCAAGCAUAUCCUACAUGCCUGCCGGUGCGUGCGGCCACCAUGAGUGCGUAAUCAAGAGCUACAGAACACAAUUAAGCUACACAAUCAGACACAAACAUAGGGAUGUCUUUUUACCACUGGCACACGUACAAGGAGAGGCAUUAUUCAGUAGUAGUAUAGCUGCAUAGGCUCAAACUAACCAUCUCGUCGUAGGCACGCGCGCAGCCAUGCUCGCUCGCUAGGAGCCGCCGCCGUUGCCGGUGUCCUCGUUUCCUCCUCCUCCUCCCCCGCCGCCGCCACCGCCCGAAGUCGUUGGCGUCCCGCCGCCGCCGGUCCAGUCGGCGAUGAUGGUCUUGAUGAUGCUGCCGCGCUUGGGGUUCCGGUUCCCGUCGGGCUUCGGCCUCUGGCCCUGGCCGCCAUCCUGCCCAUCCAUGGCGUCGCGCGCGUGCAAGCAAGCCCCGCCCGGCCGGCCCAGAGAAGCGUAGGCGAGUGGACGAGUGUGGUGGGUGCGAGCUAGAGUGGGAGCUAUGCCCCUAUGAGCAAGUGGUCGGCUUUAUAGCGCUAAACACAGUAGCAUUGUUAAUUGUUAGGACAGUCUUCUGAUUUGGCGCUCCGGGCAUGAAGUAUUCUUGCAUCCAGACCGGCGACUAAUCCACGACGAUGACGCCUUGGGAUGGGAGUGGGUAGUUCAGUGUGAUUCUUGUACAAUGCAGGGUCUAUCGGGAGGUGGUAGUGUACUAGCUUAACUUUGGAGCAACGCGUGUGUGAUUGGAUAAACAGAGGCAAA